UUCUUGGUUUCUUCAAUUCACGGCAGCCAAGGCCCGGCCGGUGCAGCGCACUACCACGACAGACUCGGCGGGCACGCACGAGCACGAGCAUGUCGAGUAGCCGAGGAAGAAAAAGCAUGGACAGGCAGCACGUCGGCGUCAAGGUCACCUACAUCGAGACGCAGUUCGUCACCUCCGACGCCGCCGGCUUCAAGGACCUCGUGCAGCGCCUCACCGGGAGGUCCCCCACCGCCGCCUCCGCGCCGGCUCCGGCGGCGCCGCACAGGCCGCGCGCGUGCCGCGCAGGGGAGGGCAGGACGGGCGCUGCAGCCGGAGCUGGGCCGCAGGGCUGCCACUAUUACCAGCAGCCGGCCGGUGGGGUGCGGCCGGCCGCCGUCGUCGCUAGCUGCGCCCCGCCGUGCCAGGAGAAGCUGCUGCUCAGCAUGGACGACGACUUCUCGGACCUGUUCUACGCCGGUGCCAUCGAUCAGCGGCGUCAUGGCCUCAAUGGUGGUUACACCGAUUUUCCACUAUCGAUCGAGACUUACGGCCAUGGUCAGAACUCAGAAGAUUGGCUUUGUCAGAAGAACUAUGAUGUACAAACCAGUUUAUGUGGAGCCAUUCAGUUCAUUUAUUCAUUCUUAGUAUAUAGUGUGUACAUAUGUACUCUGGUUCCCUUGUUUAGAGUACAAUAUUCCUUUGCAAAUCAAAGUUUGGAAGCAAAAGACAGUGUUAGCUCCGAAGAGCUAAAAUUCAGAGUUUAAGCCUUGUGGUCAUUAUGGUGCAUAUAAGAUCAAUUUUGUACUAUAUUUGUGAUGCUAACCAUUACACUAUUUAAACUAUCGGGGAUACUCAUAAGAAUUAUACUAAGUAGAUAUGGAAGGAUUGGUGUGAGGUUGAGUUGGCUAGUAGGUGGAGUAUAAUGCAACACACUAUGAGAUCUUGAGUUUGAAAACCCUUCUCUCUAAAAUUAUAUUAUUUUUGCAAUAUACUUCUAGUCAUCUAGAUGAUAGAGACAUAAUAUUGUGCCAUUACAAGUUGUCUUGCAAAAUAUAGAGACACUUGUAAAAAUAUCUCUUCAUUCAAAGAGACACGUGGCAUCUCUAUGACAUAUUGGAAAACGACUCUAUGACUCUCUAGGGACAACAUAACAUGUCUCUACAGGAUAAAAAUAGUAUCUCUACAUGUGAAACUGUUUUGUAGUGAUACAUUGAUAGUAUAUUUAUUUGAUAUAUUGUAUAUGUUAUGGUCAAAGUUAUACAAAUUCAACUCAAGAAAAAACUAAAAUGACCGAAACACACACAACAGGCAGUGCUUCACUUUUGCCAUUUGGCAUUUCCGUAUUUGGUGUUGUAAUACAGCUUUCCUUGGCUUCCCUCGGAGCAAUAGUUUUUGUUAGCAAUGGCAGUUCGGCCAUACCGGCCAUUCUUCACUGAUUCCAUCAUACAACUGCUAAUGCUAGUCUCAUGGCAAGAAGAAACGGAAACAUACUGUUUAUGGUGCCGCAAACAUCUGUUUUCAACCUCUGUUUCUAAAUAUUUGGUAGUUCUGAUCAAAACACGAUUACUAAGGAACACACAUUUUAAGGAUAAAACAAAGCAGUCAAACUGACAAGUAUUUGAAAAUAGAGGCUAAUAUAAAUGGUGUGUGAUGAUCAAUAAACUCUGUGCUUGUCAUUUUAUUUCCUUUGGCUGAAUUGUCGAGAAUGUGUAUGGUACACAUCACUACAAAAUAUAUAAUAUUUACUAGUUUUUAAUGAGUGUCCAACAAUUUUAAUGGUUGGUACUAUUUUUUUCUAGUGUAUGAUGCAUCUUUCCUAAUAAUUUUAUCAAAUGGCCAACAAUGUAUACCUGACACACUUAUUUUUUAUUCAUAAUUAUGAUAGGGUUUUAUCCAAAUAUAAUAUAAUAGAAACCAUUAGCAAGUGUAAGCGAGCAUUUCAGAAGGAACUUGAGCAACAUUUCUUUUCAAUUUCCAUUCAUGAGUUUCUGUAUGUUCAUCUAAAAAAGAAAAACGGUAAUGCUUAGAUUUUGACGUCCAGCAGGAUUAAAAAUAUCGGAUGCUAGUCCACGGUCCUUACCUUUACUCCGAGCGAAGCGAUAGCGGCUUCUUUCCUCAUUCUUAUCCACUCGUUCCUCAUCCUCGUAUCCUCCACCUCAAGUCUCCAUUAACAGCACUGCCCGCACCACCACUUCCUCGAGCUCCCCUCAUCUCAGCAGCCACACAUAUGGUGCGGCGCCGCCAUCAUGUGGCACCUUGCCGGUGCGUUCCCCGCUCCUCUGCCCUCGCCGCGUGCAGCCACGCUGCUAGAUUCCUCCCCAUCCUCAGCUACACGUCACCAGAUUCGAUCAAGCCCGCGCUAGCAUUCCCACCUGCGUUCCUCGACGAGCGGUCGGGUGAUUUCUCGUGGCGGAGCCUUGCAAGGUGAGCGUCGGCGACGCGGGAGGUUGUGCCCGAUAAGUAGCAACAUGGGCCGCCAAGCUGCUUGAGAUGGGAUGUGCGACGAGAGGUAAUCGAAGGAGCAAGACGGUGACAACGGCCUGACUUGGUAGAUAUAAUGUUGCAAUAAUUAAUUUUCGAUAUUGCUUUAUAUCAUUUUUCAUGUGGCGAUAGGUGAUUUUGGAUGUUGUAGAAAAAUUAAUCAAGAUGUGGUUACAAAGUUGUUUGCUAAUGUUGCAACAAAAGAUACUUUUGUUAUGUUAGUAUUUUCUCGAUGUUGCAUAAGGUGUUCUUAGAGUUUGAAAUGUAUGCAUAUUGUGAUGUUGUUGGCUUUUUUAUGCUUCUUCUAUUGAUUCUUUAUGUUGCAGUGUUUUGUUUGUAGUGUGUCAUUAUAUGCGUUUAAACUUUCCUACCAUGAUUUGCAUGAAAAUGUUGCAAGAAACAACCAAUGAUGUUAUGGUGGGAAUUUUUAUCUAGAAAUAUAUAGAUAUAUUUUCUCAUAUGUCUCGAUAUUGCAAACAUGGAUUUUCGAUGUUGCAAGUGUUUUAUUUUGAUGUUGCAACGAAUCAUGUGAUGGGAAAACUUCCCAUCCGACGUCCGAACGCUAGCAGUGUUGAAAGAAAAAAAAGAAUGCAAAAGUUUUUAGAAAUCCUUAUCUGAGGAAAAAUUAGUACUUUUAUGGUGUACUGGUACGCACCAUUUUUAUUGGACUGAAAAUACGGUCUCACAUUCUGCUAUAUAUAGGGCUCGUUUGGUAGGGUUGCGUCUAUGGCUGAAACGGCUGCGGCUGUAGCUUCUUCGAUGAAACAGCCUUUUUUAGCUUCAGCUUGUCUGGAUGGAAACACGUUUGGCAAAACGGCUUCUCCUACAUGCGUAACAUGGAUAAAAAAUAUAAAAUGUCCAUAAUACCCUUCCUUUUUUUCUUUCCUUUUUCUUUUUUCUCCCUUCCUUUUUUUGUCUUUCCUUCAUUUAUUUAACUUUCUUUCCUCACGCAACGCCAGCCGCAGCCCAGUGCCUUAUCCACUCGCUUCCAUCCGCUUGAGAGCCGGCCUUAUCCACUCGCCCCUGCUUUUCUAUGCUCUACCGUCGCCCUAGCGCCUCCGCUCCACUGCCAGCACCUAGCGCCGCCGUCCGCUGCCCCACGACGCCAGCUCCCAGCACCACCAGCCUGCCGGCCCUAGCGCCGCCUCACUCCGCCUCGCACCCUACGGCCCCAGCGUCGCCGUACUCCACCUCGCGCCCUACGGCCCCAGCGCCGCCAUCGACCGCCCAGCGUCGCCGUCUGCCGACCCCAGCGCUGCCUCCCUUCGCCGCGAGUCAUGGUGGGCAAGAAGGUCAGUUGUCCUGCGGCCGAGGGUAAAGCCGUGGGGAGCCAAUUUUUUUGACUUCUCCUCCACCAAAGGGCUCCAGAGAGCGGAUUUCCCAGAGCUCCUGGACGGGAGCCGUUUUGUUCGUGCUCCUUUAGUAGAGCUUCGGCUUCUGAUGAUGGAGAAGCCGCAGCCAAAGCCCUACCAAAGGAACCCACAGUUUCCGAUGAGGCGUUUUCCCCGUUUCUCCACCAUCGUCUCCGAGGAUCUUCGUUAUCGUGCUUUCAUCGGUCGUACGAUACGCAUACCGCGCCGCACGAGCGCUUGACCGUCUCCCUAUCCAGUCCCCAAAAGUUGACCGUUGCCACUGACUCCCUCUCCCUCCCCCUCCUUACCUGCAGGCUGCGAAAGGCCCGGCGACCGGUCAAACCAGCACCUCAACUUGCUUCCUGUAGCGCUCAGUGCGCCGCAUCGGCGCGACCGCAUGACCAAACCCCCACCCUCUCCCCGUCUCACCGCCAUGCGGGUCCCACUACCUUUUAGCCCCACGUGCCACUGUCCAGGAACUAUCGGCGCCGGCAACUUGCAAACCUACCAGAGAUUCAGAAUAGGUCUUCGCUCAGCCACAUCCUAUAAAUACAGCCCCAAAAAAAGAAGCUUUUCAUCCACUACCACCACCCCAGCUCAGCCAAGCUUCUUCCACGCGAGCCAAGUCUGCGAGGCGAAGCCCACGGUGCGGCGCGCUGCCACGACAGCUGCAGAGUAGAGAGACGUCGAGCGAGCAGUGAAGGGAAGAGGAAGCGAAGCAUGGACGGCGUCAAGGUCACCUACAUCGAGACGCGGUUCGUCACCUCCGACGCCGCCGGCUUCAAGGACCUCGUGCAGCGCCUCACCGGGAGGUCCCCCACCGCCGCCGGGGCUGCGGCGGCGCCGCACAGGCCGGGCGCGUGCCGCGCCACCACCACCGACUGCGGGAGGAGCGCGACCGGCACGCAGGGAUGCUACUACCACGCGUCCGCGUCGUCGUCGUCACCGGCGGCGAACGAGGCGCGCGUCGGUGGCGGCCGCCUCGCGCCGCCGUUCCUGGACGAGACGUACGGCGUCGGAGACUUCGCCGGCCUGCUCUAUGGCAGCGCCAGCCAAAACGCACAGUGGGGGUGUUGAAGACAAAUCAGCCUGAGUGCUGGGGGCGUUUAGUUUCUCGUGUCACAUUGAAUGUAAUUCGGAGGUUAAUUAGGAGAACUAAAUAUGAAUUAAUUAUAAAACUAAUUGCACAGAUGGAGGUUAAACGGCGAGAUAAAUCUAUUAAACCUAAUUAAUCCAUCAUUAGCAAAUGGUUACUGUAGCAGCACAUUGUCAAAUCAUGGACUAAUUAGGCUUAAUAGAUUCGUCUCGCCGUUUAGCCUCCAUCCGUGUAAUGAGUUUUGUAAAUAGUCUACAUUUAACACUCUUAAUCAGUAUCUAAAUAUUCGAUGUGACGGGUGCUAGAGAAGCUAUUCGCUUACCUGGAAACUCACAGCAUGGCCAAGCGUAGCAGUUGAUUAGUUGCCUUGACAUUUAGCUGGCGCUGCACCUCUUCUCUCUUAGGCUGUCCGCACUCGUCAUACUCUAUUUUCAUACUUAAAAGGAAUAUUCUAUUCUAGUUAUCGAGAUUCUUUCCUCCAUAUUAAUUUCUCCUGAACCCGUGUUACUCUAUAUGUAAUCCUCUAUGCCAACUACUCCAUAUUUUAUUCACCCCUCUCCCCUCUCUCUCUCCCCCAACCGUUCCCUUCCCCUUCUCUUCCCCCCAUCUCCCGACGCCUCGCCUCCUGGGCUGUGGGCCUCCUCCCCGCCGGCCCCCCUCCCCCUCCUCCACGGUCCGAUCCUCCUCCCCGCCGGCCCCAAUGCGCCAAUCAAACAUCGGAAAACCCCUCGUGCCCGCGGUUCACCUACUCCUCUAUUUCUUUCACCAAAGCCCCCUCACCUUCUUCUUCCUCCUCUCCUCUUCCUCCCCGACGAUCCGCUGCCGGCGGCUGUUUACUCCACCUUGGUGACUACCCCGUGAGCUCCUCUUCAUAUAGGCGCACCCUCUCCCCCACUACUUCCCCCGAAACCCUACCCUAAUACUUCCCUCAGUGAGCGGCGGCACUCCGGUGGCGAGCGGUGGAACACGCGCGGAAACUCAAACGGCUUGACUCAAAGGCUUAGCGCAUCAUGACCAGGGGCUCACCACAGCUCUUUUUGGGUAGUUGGUCGGAGAAGAGAGGGCCGGGAAGGUGGGCGUCAAUGGUGAGGUGGGUGGUGGCGGGUGGUGGCAAUGGUGGGCGCAGGGGAUUCAAUCCUCUGACGCCAGAGGCCAUGGUACAGGGCAAACAGAGGUGAAGGACGUACCUGUUCCGGUGAGUAGUGUGGGUGGCAGAGAUUUGGAAAUGGGGAAGGGGAAUGNNNNNNNNNNNNNNNNNNNNNNNNNNNNNNNNNNNNNNNNNNNNNNNNNNNNNNNNNNNNNNNNNNNNNNNNNNNNNNNNNNNNNNNNNNNNNNNNNNNNNNNNNNNNNNNNNNNNNNNNNNNNNNNNNNNNNNNNNNNNNNNNNNNNNNNNNNNNNNNNNNNNNNNNNNNNNNNNNNNNNNNNNNNNNNNNNNNNNNNNNNNNNNNNNNNNNNNNNNNNNNNNNNNNNNNNNNNNNNNNNNNNNNNNNNNNNNNNNNNNNNNNNNNNNNNNNNNNNNNNNNNNNNNNNNNNNNNNNNNNNNNNNNNNNNNNNNNNNNNNNNNNNNNNNNNNNNNNNNNNNNNNNNNNNNNNNNNNNNNNNNNNNNNNNNNNNNNNNNNNNAGCUCGUGGCCGCCGCCAAGGUCCAGCGCGCGCAGGAGGCCGUCGUCUCCUCCCGCCCCUUCUCGGAGGCGCUCAUGGAGGUCCUCUAAAACAUGAACCAGGAGAUCCAGACGAAGGACAUCGACCUGCCGCUCACCUGCACCCGCCCCGUCAAGAAAGUGGCCCUCGUGGUCCUCACCCGCGAGCGCGGCCUCUAUGGCAGCUUCAACAACAACGUGCUCAAAAGGCGGACACCCGCAUCGAUGAGCUCAAGCAGCUGGGCCUCGCGCGGCGGCGGUCCGACGGCGGAGUUCCGAGCGGAGGCGCAAGGGGGAAGUCGUUGGGGCAGCAGCCUCGGGAGGCGCGUAGCGGGCGUCUUGGGCUUCCACUAGGAGUAGCGGACGGGGUGGCCGUCCGCUUGGGAGAGGAAGCCUCGCAGUACCGCGGUGCGGGAUUUUUUCCGCUAUCGCUGUACCGGAGGACGGUUUGCAGUGUCCCGGUGCGGACAACCUUAUCCCGCCCACCUCCCGUGCUCCUAUGAGCCUGGCCCGGAAGAAACGAGCAAUUCUCCGUAUCUUUGGAGCUUGGCUGACGAGGGAAUCUCGCGUCGUGCGGGACAGGCUUGAACACUGCUGUACCCAUCCAAUCACAUGUUGCCUGCAUGCCGAGAGCCUGGCUCAGCUGAAACCAGCCAACCAAUCAGGCCCCAGGCGGUCUGACCAGUCCGGACCUGACAACCUGCAAUCGGUCUGACGGGGUACGGACGGUCUGAUCGGUCCAACCUACUUUUGAGUAGAUUUGAGAAAGAUUUGAGAAACCUACGCCAUGUUUAGUUACUCCCAACUCCCAACUUUGACACUAUGCAAAAAGAAGAUUCCCCAUCACAUCAAACUUGCGGUACAUGCAUGGAGUACUAAAUGUAGAUGAAAUUAAAAACUAAUUGCACAGUUUUGUUGUACUUUGCGAGACGAAUCUUUUGAGCCUAAUUAGUCAAUAUUUGGACAAUAAUUCACAAAUACAAACGAAACGCUACAGUGUGCUACAGUGCUGUAACAGUAAUUUGGCACCUCCCAAAUUCCCUAACUAAACAAGGCCCUACUUUGAGUAGAUUUGAGAAAGAUUUGAGAAAUCUUUUGAUGUAUGUAGAUUAAUAUUUGUAAAACGAUUUCCUUGUGAGGUAAGAUCUUCCCACCCUAGAAAUAUAAAGGGUCGCGGCUGAUUGAGCCUAACACCCAAUCGAACAAAAUAUUUAAUUUACUUUUAUCUCCAAACCCUAAUUUUUUCUAACUUCUUGCUUUUCUCUUUCGUCUUGACAGCGGCUGAGGAAGUUCCGAGUGGCCUACUGAUAUCAGAGCAACCCUAAGCGCAUCAUCCCUGAUGCCUGAUGGGUCCCUCCCGGAAAGCGUCAACAGGGGGCAUUGUGGAUGUUACAGUGAUUAUUUUCCCUAUUGAUCUACAUUUUGGCUUCUUAUUGUUAGAAAUAUGUCUGUACAAAAUCAUUUCUACGUGCAGCCAUUGUUUUUUCAGUAUAGUCCAUAGCAGCCAUUUCUACUUUCUGUAGUGCAAGUUUUGAACGAAACGAAGGUGAAUUUUGGCAUCGCAAGACUAUGGGAAUGAACUGGCUCCAGUUUCAUUCAAACAUAUAACUGCCUCGCAUAAAAAAACAAACAGCCUUUGCUUUAAAGAUAUCCGUCAUCCAUAUUAUCAUUCCUUUCAAGUCAGAGACGAUAUAUUUAUGCCGACAAACUGACAGCAGCAUAACACGCAUAUGCUGCUAAUUCGCUACAAAGUUGGAGCAUUAUAGAAAACUUCUAUCAAGUUACCAGCAGAUCAGAACCGUAGUUUUCAUCUGAAGAAAUUAGAUCCACUCAUGAAAUCAUGAGCCAUAACUCAUGAGAUCUGAUCAUACCAUACCCAAAAGACGGGGAAGUUCAAGAAAGUACUCUAGCAGUGCAGCUAAACCAAUCCGUAAACUGAGGGUCCACCAAACAUUUCCCAGUUUGUUUAGCUGUCGCAGCUUGGUGAAACGUAAGAGCUGAUGCUCUAGAUGAGAUCAGCAUUCUUUACAGCUGAUAACUACUUAACCAGAGUGCCUAGCCGAUACUAUUUCCUAGCUACAUAUAUAUGUUGUAACAUCACUGCUAAGGGAUCAAAACUUUGCUUGAUUGCGUGGUUACAUUGAGCAUUCGUCGAUCUUGCUUUUGGUCAGCUGAAAUGCUGGAAUCACCCAGGCUCCGCAGCAGCACUGCAUACCGGCCCAGUUGAAUUGUCCAAGACGAGCUUUGCAUCCCAUGCAAAAGAGCUUAUUCGCAACAUAUCCUUCUUCCACUGCAAAUAGUAUAUACAGAAAUAUCAGAGGUUUAUGACUAAUGCUCUAAAAAGAAAGAGGUAAAACCAUCAUGUAAAAGAAACUGACCAGUUUGCAUCCACUUCAUCGGCUCCACAUAGAUGCAGGGACAUUCAGGUUUUUUGUCAUCAUCAUCCACAGACCGUUUGCCUCGGUUGAAGCACUUUCCACCCGCACCUACUUCAUGGGUAACAACAAAUUCUUGAGUUGCAAGCAUUCUCCGACAUUUUUUGCAGCGGUAGAUAACACCUGGAUCAGAAGUUCGUUUUUCUGGGUUGACAUCAGAUUCUGCAGAUGUCUCCUGACAUGUUUCUGUAGGCUUUUGAUUAACCUCCAAUCCUGCUUCCCGAUCAGCUUUCUUGUCUGGGAUGAUAUCAGUUUCCACCACUGUGUCCAGACAUGUUUCCAUUGGCUCUUCAUUGACCUUGGAUCCUGAAAGCUCAUCAGUUUCCUUUUCUGGGUUAAUAUCGGUUUCCACAGGAUUUUGAUCCACCUUUGGUCCUGGCUUCUGUUGAAUUACCGGUUCUGGUGCCUGACUGGUUUCCACCUCCUUCAAACCACAUAAUAUCAGUUGUACGAAAUUUACAUGCUGACAUGAUACAACCAUACGGUACAUUAUAUAAAUUAACUUACCAUUUUGUUUAAACUUGAAAUUAAAGCCUCCAUAACCGUACUGAAAAUCGAUUGGAUGUUGCUCACACCUGCAGUGUUCACAGACAGAAAUAAGAGACCAUGAAUAGCACAGGUAACAUUUAAAGCAAAAAAAGUUCCUUGCAUACUGCAAUUAGACAAAAAAUUUAAGAUGUAAGUAUGUAACUGCUCACAUAUAAUUCAUGUAUCCUCAUAUAGUUAUGGAACCCUAAUAUUCAGCUACCCUUAGCACCAUUUAUUUGUUAAGGACAUGACCUGUAGAAAAUACAUUCCAUAACUUGCAGAAGCACAGUCCCUCUGUGACGUAUGUGCACCAUUGUUUUGUGAUUGGACUGAAACUCGUCAUGACAUUGUGUGCUGCGACAACCCCAUGAAUGUUAUAUAUCCUCUGAAUAGUUUCUCUGAAGCAGUAUUAAACACAAUCCUAAGUUCCUAACAAUUGAAGUCAUGCAGCAAUGCCAAGUACAGUACGUAUUUUGACUAAAACCAUGUACAAGAAACUUAGCAGUACCAAGGAUUUUAUCAGACUUUACGCCUCCGAGUAGACUGUAAAUUAUCUAGCAAUAAUGUCCAUUUGGUUCAAAAGGUGUUUUUUUAAAAAAAAAUGAACACACUGUAUAAUUCACAGCUACAGUCAUCAGGCCUAUGCAGCACAGAUCAUCUAAGACCAAAAUGUCCAGUUGAAUCAUAGCGCAAAUUAUAUCCUACAUUUCCUUUGUACCACUAAUUUCUGAUAAACCAAAGAGCUUGUAUACAAACCAACAAGCCAUACCAACGAUUCCUUCCAGUGGAUUCAGAAUGUCCCAAUCAAGCAAUCAUGGAGCCUCCAACAGACUGAAGCACUGCAAGGUUCUAGGUCGGUUGUUCAGGAUCUCCAAAGCUAUCGAACCCCAAAACCUCACCUAAACCCAACCACAAGACGCAGGGCUGGGCAUAGCGCGCGUCAUGCCGGUAUAAAUUGAGCCCCAGAAAAUAUUCCACGAAAUAAUUUAGACCCGCACCCUGGAUCCCAGUCCUUAGGGCAUCAGCUGAGACCCACCGAUUUCGCGCGCCCUAAAUAAGAUGAUGAAGAAGCCUAAUCGAACAGCCAUGGAUGGACGGAAACAAAUUACGCUGCUAAAUGAUGCGCGCGCGGAAACCGGGUUGGACCGAUUACUCUCACGGCAAUUGAAACACCUCCCAGAAAAAACGCAAUUAGACGGGGGGAAAUCCGUCGAGCGAGUUAGGGUUCCUUACCAACGGUCCAAAUCGAUCGCAGGCGUGGAUGGAUUCGUCCACUCCGCGCCAACCCGAAACCGGUGGGGGCGGAGGAGGAGCACGGCGAGUCGACGACGACGACAGGAGUGCGACGGCUUCCUGGGACUUGGGAGUGGAGUGGAUUGGAGGCUAGUUUAUUAGGCGGCGCGGCGCGGGGAAGAGGACUUGAGGACGGCACGGACAGGAAACGUACGUGUACAUGGCCGUAUCCGACCUUUCUUCCAUUUUGACAGACGCGAAUUAGACGGAGAUUAGAUAUUGUGUUUCCCAAAAUAAAAGUUGUAUCAAUAAUAAUGGCAUUUCACAUAUAUUUUGAUACAAAUGUUAUUUGAUAACAUAUUCUAAGAGCAUUGUCAAAGCUAAUUCAAACACGUCCAUAAUAUGCUACGUAUAAAGAAAAUAAGGUACUACGAAUUCGCAAAAAGAAAAGCAUUCUGGCGUGUAAAAAUAAUUGUAUUACCUCAAAUGCUACUGCAGUUUUGUAAAUUUUUAGGACGUUUGACACUGAUAACAUGAAUCCACAAGCCCAACAAGUGUUCUGGUGUGCACAUUGCCGAUCCAUCAAGCGGGCGCAAAAUACGUAACACUCGUAUCUAGGAAAGUUUCUAGUUCUAGUUGAUAAAAGGAGGUGAUACAGUAAAAUACAAUGCCAAAACAUAAUUCGAACGUUCGGCACGGUAUAUACCAUUUUCAGAAUCUUUUAGACACAUGGAUAUAAAGUCUAAAGAGUGAGGUAACAACUGUCCAGAUACAAAAUCAGCAUCCUGUUCAAAGAGUUCGGAUAUAGCUGCUCAAAAUGGGGGAGAAGAUCAAGCUCCUCGUCUCGUGAUACAGCUCGCUCUUUUCCUUGUCCUAAACACUUCUAGUCAGUACUCAGUAGUCACCAAAAGGGUCUCAAUAACCGUUUUCAGAUUGAAUUCAUUGUCCAAUGACAAAACGAACUCGGGCACAUGGUUCAGCUUAUCGCACGUUACAAUGCCAACACCAAAAGAUGGAGUAGCCUGAGAGAGCAUCAAGAUGAUUUUCGCCACUUGCCAAACCAUAUCCUUCAAAGAUGAGAGAAAAACUUAGCAUGUAUCAAGAUCACUGACAGACUGCUAGCAAAACUGAGGAAAUUAACUAAUGUUUCCAGGAUGAUCACAGUGGAUGUUGUCUACAAUCCAUCAAGCGACGUUGAAUGGUGCUAUUUUCAUGUCACCAAUCAAACUAGUUUUCUAUAUAUUACUGAAUUGUAAACGAAGUUUGACACACCAUGCAUUUCUGAAUGGAGGGAGUCUUUUGCAAAUAUGACUAACUCAACCCUAAGAUAUUGUAUCACUUAAUCAGUCCAUCUAAUUGACAAAGUUGCACAUCAUUAACAGUCCCGUAAUCUUGAAAGACUCAAAAGUGGGAUAAGAAUCAUGCAUAGUAAAAACCAGUAGCAUAUUCUUGAAAGACUCAAGCCUAACAUAUAGCAUAAGUUUUGAUCUAUCUUCUACAAAAGGUGAAAAUGAACACAAAGCCCAACACGUUCAUGCCAAAACAUAACUGGCUUAAUGCAAGACAUGGCAAGGAAUGAUUUCAAGAAUAAAACAUUAAAUUGGAGGGAAAUUGCCCCUUCCAUCAAAUUCAUUUCCUAAACAUUGCUCGAUAAAGCAGUAAAGUGCAUCAGUUAAAAUAUAGAGUAGGUACUCCUUACACGGUUUUAUUGGCAACUGAUAGCUAAAGCAAAAAAAAAAGAAAAAAGAAAACAGAGAGAGGUGCUAUGGAGAUGUGCAGUGAUAAAUAUAUUAUCUAGGGAUAAAGCACACAAAAUGGUUCCAUGGUGUAGUGGUUAUCACUCCAGACUUUGAAUCUGGCAACCUGGGUUCGAAUCCCGGUGGGACCUACCCUCUUUACAUAAAAAGAGAAUUUGUGACAUGCCAUUCAAAAGAUUCAAACUUUUGGAAAAACCAAAUUAGCUUUUCCUGGUUCACUUUAAUACCAUCCAAAAACUUUUCAUCGUUUGCUCCAGAAUUUAGUCCAUUGCAUGCUUAACAUACCAGGGAUAGAAAACGUAGUAGGAAACAGUGAGAUGUAGAUCGGCUAGCAUUUGUGACUUUCCAUCCUACAGGCGGGAUUAAGACGGAGGCAACAGGAGUUCGCAAAAAAUGGAACAUGAGUAGGUUAGCUCGUUUGAAGAGAAACAACAUAAUCUGAGAGUGAGACAGAAGAUAAGCGAGUUGGGUAACUCUGACAACAAUGAAUGGUGCUGUAAUGCAAGUUCGACACACCACACAUUUCUGAAUGAAUUGCAAAUAUGUCUCACUCAAGCCAAGAUAUUGCAUUUCUUAAUCAGUCCAUUGACACAGUAGAACAAAUUAACAAAAUUGUGUCAUUAACAGCCCCAUAAUGUUGACAGACUCAAAAGUAGGAAAGAAUCUAUAAUAAAUCCCAGUAGCAUGACAAAAAAAAGGUGAAAACAGAUGCAAGCACAAGUUCAUGCCAAAACUCAACAGUCUGACUGCAGAUAUGGUAUUGAAUAUAUUAAAAAAUAAAUGUUGAAUUGGAGAGGAAUUAACCCUUCAGUCAAAUUCACUUACUAAAAAGUGCUCAAUAAAGCAGCGAGGUGCAUUAGUUAAAAUACAGAUAUUAGCUUAUUGCUUCCAUUUUAUUGGGAAAGGCUAGCAGAAGAAAACAAAAAUGGUUCUAGGGGGAUGUCUUAUGAUAAAUAUAUUACCUAGGGAGAAAACACACAAAAUGGUUCCAUGGUGUAGUGGUUAUCACUCCAGACUUUGAAUCUGGCAACCUGGGUUCGAAUCCCGGUGGGACCUGCCCUUUUUAACAUAAAGAGAAUUUGUGAGGUGCCAUUCAAAAGAUCCAAACUUUUGAAAAAACUCAAUUAGCUUUUCCAGGUUCAUUUUAAAACCAUUAUCAUACUUUUCAUCAUUUGCUCCAGUAUUUAGUCCAUUGCAUGCUUAAUGUACUUGGGAUAGAGAAUGUAGUAGGAAACAGCGAGAUGUAGAUUGGGCAAGGAUUCAUGGCCUUCCAUCCUACAGGUGGGAUUAAGAUGAAGGUGACAGGAACUGCGCACAAAAUAGAACAUGAGUAGGACAGCUUGGCUGGAGACAAACAACAUACUUGAGAGUGAAACACGAGAUAAGCAAGUUGGGUACUCAUGACAAUGAAUGGUGCUAUUUUCAUGUGACAAAAAAGAUAAUUUUCUACUCCCUCCGUUUCAAAAUGUAGGUCGUUUUGGCUUUUCUAGAUACAUAGAUUUUGCUAUGUAUCUAGACAUAACCCUAUAUUUAGAUGCAUAGCAAAACCUAUGUAUCUAGAAAACCCAAAACGACCUAGAUUUUGGAACAGAGGUAGUAUAUAUUACUGAUCUGUAAUAGAAAUUUGACACACCAUGCCUUUCUGAAUGAAUUGCAAAUAUGUCUCCCUCAAGCCAAGAUAUUGCAUUUCUUAAUCAGUCCACUGACACAGUACAACUAAUUAACAACAUCAUGUGUCAUUAACAGCCCCCUAAUCUUUAUAGACUCAAAUGUAGGAAAGGAUCUAUAAUAAAACCCAGUAGCUGGCAUAACCAAAAUAAAGGUGAAAAAACAUUCGGAAUGCAGAUAUGGCAUUGGAUAUUUUAAAAAAAAUAAAAUGUUGAAUUGGAGAGUUAUCCCUUCAGUCAAAUUCACUUCCUAAAAAGUGCUCAAAAAACAGCAAGGUGCAUUACUUAAAAUACAGAUAUUAGCUUAUUACUUUUUUUUGUGAAAGGCUAGCAGAAGAAAACAAAAAUGGUUCUAGGAGGAUGUGCUAUGAUAAAUAUAUUACCUAGGGAAACAAAAAAACAUAAAAUGGUUCCAUGGUGUAGUGGUUAUCACUCCAGACUUUGAAUCUGGCAACCUGGGUUCGAAUCCCGGUGGGACCUGCCCUUUUUACAUAAAAAGAGAAUUUGUGACAUGCCAUUCAAAAGAUCCAAACUUUUGGGAAAACUCAAUUAGCUUUACCAGGAUACUUUUCAUCAUUUGCUCCAGUAUUUAGUCCAUUGCAUGCUUAACAUACAUGGGAUACAUAAUGUAGUAGGAAACAGCAAGAUGUAGAUUGGCAAGGAUUCAUGGCCUUCCAUCCUACAGGAGGGAUUAAGAUGGAGGUGACAAGAGUUGCACACAAAAUGGAACACGAGCAGGACAGCUUGGCUGGAGACAAACAACAUACUUGUGACUUGAGAGUGAAACACGGGAUAAGCAAGUUGGGUAACUCUUAUGACAAUGAAUGGUGCUAUUUCCAUAUGACCAAAAAAAUAUAUAUAUUACUGAUCUGUAAUGAAAAUUUGACACACCAUGCCUUUCUGAAUGAAUUGCAAAUAUGUCUCCCUCAAGCCAAGAUAUUGCAAUUCUUAAUCAGUUCAUUGUCAUGGUACAACCAAAUGACAACGGCAUGUGUCAUUAACAGCCCCAUAGUCUUGAUAGACUCAAAAACAGGAAAGAAUUAUGGUAAAACCCAGUAGCUGGCAUAGCACGAAAAAGGUGAAAAUGGAUGCAAGCAAAAGUUCAUGCCAAAACUCAAGAGUCUGACUGCAGAUCUGGCAAUGAAUGUUUUUUAAAGAAAAACAUGUUGAAUUGGAGAGGAAGUAUCCAUUCAGUCAAAUUCACUUCCUAAACAGUGCUCAAUAAAGCAGCAAGGUGCAUCACUUAAAAUACAGAUAUUAGCCUAUUCCUUGCAAUCUAUUGGGAAAGGCUAGCAGAAGAAAACAAAAACGGUUCUAAGGGGUGUGCUAUGAUAAAUAUAUUACUUAGGGAGAAAGAAAUAAAAUGGUUCCAUGGUGUAGUGGUUAUCACUCCAGACUUUGAAUCUGGCAACCUGGGUUCGAAUCCCGGUGGGACCUUCCCCUUUUUUACAUAAAAAGAGAAUUUGUGGUAUGUCAUUCAAAAGAUCCAAACGUUUUGAAAACCCCAAUUAGCUUUUCCAGGUUCACUUUAAAACCAUUCAGAAACUUUUUAUCAUCUGCUCCAGUAAUUAGUCCAUUGCAUGCUUAAUGUAUUUGGGAUAGAGAACGUCAUAGGAAACAGCUGAGACAUAGAUCAGCAAGGACUUGUGGCCUUCCAUCCUACAGGCGGGAUUAAGAUGGGAGGUGACAGGAGUUGCGCACAAAAUGGAACAUGAGUAGGAUAGCUUGGCAGGAGACAAACAACAUACUUGAGAGUGAGACAGUAGAUAAGCAGGUUGGAUAACUCUCAUGACAAUGAAUGGUGCUAUUUCCAUGUGACCGGGAAAGAAUAAUUUUCCAUAUAUUACUGAUCUGUAAUGGAAGUUUGACACACCAUGCCUUUCUGAAUGAAUUGCAAAUAUUUCUCACUAAAGCCAAGAUAUUGCAUUUCUUAAUCAGUUCGUUGGCAUGGGACAGCUAGUUGAUAAAUUUGUGCAUCAUUAACAGCCCAUAAUCUUGAUAGACUCAAAAGCAGGAAAGAAUCAGGUAUAGCAAACACAGUAGCCGGCAUAACACGAAAAAGGUGAAAAUGAAUGCAAGCGGAAGUUCGAGCCAAAACCCAACAGUCUGACUGCAGAUAUGGCAAUGAAUGAUUUUAAGAAACAUGUUGAAUUGGAGAGGAAGUAUCCAUUCAGUCAAAUUUACUUCCUAAAUAGUGCGCAAUAAAGUAGUAAGGUGCAUCAGUUAACAUACAGAUAUUAGACUAUUCCUUGCAAUUUAUUAGGAAAGGCUAGCAGAAGAAAACAAAAAUGGUUCAAGUGGGACGUGCUAUGAUAAAUAUAUUACCUAAGGAGAAAACGCAUCAAAUGGUUCCAUGGUGUAGUGGUUAUCACUCCAGACUUUGAAUCUGGCAACCUGGGUUCGAAUCCCGGUGGGACCUACCCUUUUUUUAACAUAAAAAGAGAAUUUGUGAUAUGCCAUUCCAAAGAUCCAAACUUUUGGAAAAAUUAAAUUAGCUUUUCCUGGUUCACUUUAAUACCAUUCAGAAACUUUCCAUCGUUUGCUCCACUAUUUCGUCCAUUGCAUGCUUAAUGCGCUUGGGAUAGAUGACAUAGUAGGAAACAGCAAGAUCUAGAUUGGCAAGGAUUAGUGGCCUUCCAUCCUACAGGCAGGAUUAAGAUGGAGGCGACAGGAGUUGCACACAAAAUGAAACAUGAGUAGGACAGCUUGGCUGGAGACAAACAACAUACUUGAGAGUGAGGAAGGAGAUAAGCAAGUUGGAUAAUUCUCACGACAAUGAAUGGUGCUAUUUCCAUGUGACCAAUAAAAGUAGUUUACUAUAUAUGACUGAUAUGUAAUAGAAGUUUGCACCACCAUGCAUUUCUGAAUGAAUUGCAAUUAUGUCUCACCCAUGCAAAGAUAUUGCAUUUCUUAAUCAGUUCAUUGACAUGGUACAAGUAAUUGACAAAGUCGUGCGUCAUUAACAACCCCAUAAUAUUGAUAAACUCAAAGCAGGAAAGAAUCAGGUGUAGUAAAGCACAGUAGAUGGCACGCAUAAUAAAAUAAUGGUGAAAAUGGAUGCAAGCACAAGUUCAUGCCAAAACUCAACACUCUAACUGCAGAUAUGGCAAUGAAUGAUUUAAAAAGGACAAAAUGAUGAAUGGGAGAGAACCCUUCAGUAAAAUUCACUUCCUAAAUGGUACUCAACAAAGCAGCAAGGUGUUUCAGUUAAAAUACAGAAAUUAGCCUAUUCUGUGAGAUUUAUUGGAAAUGGCUAGCAGAAUAAAUAAAAUGGCGCAAGAGAUUUGUUAUGAUAAAUAUAUUAUCUUGGGAGAAAACACAUAAAAUGGUUCCAUGGUGUAGUGGUUAUCACUCCAGACUUUGAAUCUGGUAACCUGGGUUCAAAUCCCGGUGGGACCUACUUUCUUUUGACAAAAAGGGAAUAGAGAUAUUUACUCAAAAAGUCCAACCUUUUGAAAAAUACAAUUAUAUUUAUCUGGUUUGCUCCAUUCCUUUAAUCUAUUGCAUGUUUUAUGAGCCCGGGGUAGGGAACGCACUAGGAAGGUGAGAUGUAGAUAAGCAUGGUUUAAUAGCCAUGCCCCUUUCACCCUGCAACUGGGUUGGCAUGGAGGGGAUAGGAUUGCGCACAAUAAGGAACUGUAAUAGGACAGCUUAGAUGCAGAGAAAUGGCAUACAUGUGACACACAGAGGGAGAUAAAAAAGUUGGUUGAUUCCUUUUGUUUUCUUCCUCUGCGAAAAUCUCAUCCCACUAAUUACAUAUGGAUCUAGCAAACUUAGCCAGGGAAAAUACAAAGUAACAAUAUGAUUGGUUCAAACUAAGCUGAAUGAAAAUAUAUAAAAUGUCAAUCCUACGCACCUAGAUGUUGCUUCACACCCUGAUAGAAAAAAUCAAUGCAGCAAUGGGUACAUCCAAAAGAGACAAGGUGCAGGACAGUGUCAAGGAACGCUGUUGUACAACACAUCGUCACCAGCCUAAAGCCAUAGGCUAGUCAUUUGUGUUAGUGAUUGUGGCCUCUGUUUUACAGAUCAUGUUGCAUAGAACAAUUAUAAUAUUGUUACCAAGUUAGGCAGUUUUGAAUAAAUUGUUUUGAAUAAAUUCCUGGGAAUUUACAAAGACAAAAUUCCAAAUUUUCAAGACUCUUAAUCUGGUACCAUGGCAAAGAUUAGUUACUGGCAGUCAAUUGAAAGAGAAAAGUUAGUUCCCUACAGAUAUGUUGAAGCAUCUGCAAAAGAUUGUCCCGGUAGAUAUUAUACAGAGGUUUGUUUCAUAUAUUCUGUUUUAGUAUAUGAGCAAGGUUUAAACAAAAUAAAGGUCCCUACUGAGAGAUCUAGGAGUCAAUGAAGCAAACAGAGCAUCUACACGAAAUAUAUUGGCAUGUGACACAAAAAAGAAGCUGCUGUAACAGGCAUACAGGACAUGCUAGAGCACAACAGCUAUACUAUCCAACAAGGCAACAAGCAUCAGAAAUUACCUAGCACAUUGAAUUUUGAGCAGGGCCCGAAGAACUAAUAAGCUUGGCAGGCACACAGCAGAAAGCUAGAAACAGAGCAUGGCACCGUCCAUAAUCCCGCAACCUGUGAACACGACAAAUCCUAUCAAUGAGCCAACCCAGGUAGCACAACUUUAUCGAUCCUGAACGCUCAACUGCAUAUAUCGUUAAUAAAGCGAAACCCUCACAGGCAAUCGGUUGGCAGAUCAAACUGGACGCGGCAAGGGCCAACGGCCACCGGCUUGAGAUGCGGCCGUAAUGGGCGCCCGACCGGAGAGGUCAUGGAUGACCGCGUCGGCGGGGAGAUCCACGCCGCAGGCUAGACGUCGUGGACGGCGGACAGCGGCCUCGGCGCAGAGGAGGACGCCGUGGGCAGGCACCGAUCGGUUGUCCCCCUAAAGCGGCGGCGCCAUUGGAAGCCGCAGACAGCGAGGCCGUGGAAGCCACGGCGCGCCUUCGUAAGAGAGGAGGCGGAGGCGGAGGCGGAGGCGGCAUGGGGGGUGGUGAAGGGUGAGGGGAGGAGGACGCCGUCGCCCGGCGUAGGGUUUGGACUUUGAAGGAAGCGGCGACGAUAGAUACGGAGGAGGAGAACGAAUGGCGGAGAAGAGCGGCCGCCGCCGGCGACGAGAGAGCUUCGUGGCCGUUUCGAUCCGUCUUCCUGUCGGCCCAACAGGCCAACAGGCUCAACUACUGGGCCGGCCUCGGUUUGAGCCCACGGCAUCUCCGCGCGGGCGAAUCUGGAAGAGAGUCCACGCGUGCGAUGGGAUGGGGCUCGCACGGACUCUCAUGUGUCGCGUCGUGUUCGUGUCCCGUCGCCGCCGCAAACGCUGCGUCGGCCGUGGUGAGCCGAUGACGCAGCACGAGCUUCCUCGAUCCCAUCCACUCCGGUCGCACGUGUCAGCUCCUCCCGACACGCGUCCCGCUCCGGCGCCGCCACGGCAACGUCAACGUCAAACCCCGGCCGCCCACCGCCAAUUUAUAAGCCUCCCGCCGAUCACGCUACAGCCCAUCACCAAGCCAAAACCGCAAGCCACUACCAGCGAUCAGGUCACACUACUACUAUUACGCCCAAUCCAACACAGCAACCACGCUCUGCUCUUAGCUCUCGCCGGCAAGCUCGCUCGCCGCAAUGGCGUCGCAGCAACAGCCCAGGAAGCAGGCCACCAACCGGGCCCAGGAGGAGGUAGGAGGAGGCCAACAAGGCCAGGCGAUGAACCUGGAGGAGAUCGGCAAGUACCGCUCCGAGGCGCAGCAGCGGUCGGCCGACGCCAUCCGCGCCGCCGAGGAGCGCUUCAACAAGGCCAACAACAAUCAGGCGCCCAGCGCCGCCACCGUGGUCUCGUAUCAGGAGACCACGAGGCAGCCCGCGGCGAAGCAGCAGGGUGAGAGCCACGGCCACGGCGUGGGACACGGCUCCGAGCCGCAGCAGUGGCUGGCGGAAACCGCCGCCGAUGCCAGGGAGAGGUGCAACAAGGCAAUGGGGACGAGCCCCGCCGCCGCGCACGGCGGCAAGGCGUCGCCGGCCGGCCACGCGCCGGCGGGCGCGGCGCCUCCGCACCAACAGGGAAGGAGGGAGCAGGAGGGCGGCGGUCAAGCCCGCGCCCACCUGACGCGGCAGGAGGAGAUGCCUGACAGGAGGUCGGCCGCGGAAGCCGCGAGCGCCGCGGUGGAGAGGCACGACAGGGGCGGCGGGGAGGCCUCCGCGGGGCAGGGCGUUAAGGAGAAGGCCGCGCGCGCGGCCGGCGCCAAGGCGAAGGGCGCCGAGGCCAAGGACGCCGGCGCCCGGGGCGCGCAGGCCGCGGCGGGGAAGGCCCAGGAGGCCUCGGGGGCGGCGGCCGACCGCACCAAGCAGGCGGCCGCGACGGCGAAGGACGCCACGGCCGGCGCGGCCGGGACGACCGCCGAGUACGCGAGGCAGGCGGCGGCGAAGGCCAAGGACGUGACGCUGGGCACCAGGGAGACGGCGGCCGAGUACGCGAAGCAGGCCGCGGCAAAGGGCAAGGACGUGUCGGUGACCGCCGCCGGGACGGCGGCGGAGUACGCGAAGCAGGCGGCGGUGAAGGGCAAGGACGUGACGGUGAGCGCCGGCGGGACGGCGGCGGAGUACGCCAGGGCCGCGGCGGAGAAGGCGAAGGAGGCGGCGGUGGCUACCGCGAGGACGACGGCCGGGUACACGCAGCAGGCGGCGGCCAAGGCGACGGAGAUGACGGCGGACACCGCGCGCAAGGUGGCGGAGUACGCCAGGGAGAAGGCGGAGCAGGGCAAGGAGCGCCAGGCGGAGGAGCCCCGCGAGGACGUGGCGUGGGAGGCGGCGGGCAAGGCCCGCCACAUGACCGGGCAGCACGAGGACACGACCGGCGCCAUGGCGCGCAGGGUGGGGGACACCGCUGGGCAAGCCAAGGACAUGGUGAAGGACGUGACGGGAUCCAUGGCGCAGAAGGCGAGCGACACGGCGGGGCGCGCCAAGGACACGGCGAUGGACGCGGCCGGCAGCGUGGCGCAGAGGUCGAGGGACACCGCUGCCGAGGCCGGGGACAAGACGAAGGACGCCACCUCACACGCGGAGCACAAGGCAGGGGAGGUUAAGGACAAAGCAUCGGGGACCGGCAAGGCCGACGGCUGUGGCGGCGGUGUCACGACGAAGGCGAAGGUAUGUGCGCGCCUGGCGUCCGGUCAUGUGUGUUGGGGUGCCGUGUCUUUUGAAGUGUGUGCGUAGCUGACGGCUCAGUUGUGAUGCAGGGCGGCGGCGGCGAGGACACGACGGUAGUGGGCGACGUCCUGGAAACGGUGGGCGCGAUGGUGGUCGGGCUGGCGCAGCACACCAAGGGGCUCAUCGCCGGCGAGGAGGAGCUCGUCCCCGUCGAAGGUGGCGAGGAGGGAAAGGUCACCGAGGCAAGGAAGGAGGAGAAGCGCAAGACCGCUUGAUGAUGCGAUCGUUGCUCUGCUUCUAGGCUUUGCCGGCAAAGUUUGGGUUCGCCGUGUACUGGUUCCGCCUUCCGCGACACGUCCAGCUGCGUAUAGUAGAAUAACGUUGCCGGUGUACGUGCGUCGCCAUCUCCUUUUAAACAAGGAGAGCUGCCAGAGAGCGGCCAAUUAUAUUUGAAAAAGAAUAAGGCAAACUCCGGUCGGUUGCCAUGUCACAGUGUGAUCCUGUGCAUGCACGACGCUGUGAUCGUGUCAACCUGCUAUGUGCUCUUAUGUACUCGUAUAGUCCUAUGUAUUUGUACAUGUUUGGAUGCCGUCUCCGUUUUCUGCCUAUGUGCUUUGGAGCCAGGUAGGAAAGCAUAAUAAGUUUUAUUUCUUUCUUUUAAAAUAAAAGUAUAGAUGCGUACACAGUUUCCUGCACAUGCGUUUUAGGAUAAGGCAGGAAGCCAGUAUAAAUUUUAUUUUAUUCUCAAAAAACAUGGAAUGUCUAUUUAUGUACAGUUUCCUGAACGUACGCUUUAGGAUAAGGCAGGAAACCAGUAUAAUUUUUAUUUUAUUCUCAAUGUCCAACUGUCGACAGAGAGGUAAAAUUAGACUUUUAGAGGUAAAAUUAGAAAAUUUUUGUAGUAUUAUGAGGUUGUUCUGCAAUGUUGUAGGUACUACCUUUGAAAUAUCGUAAAAUAGCCUAUACAACGGCAGAAUUUUUUAUUAUUCCUUUCCUAAAAAUCAUGAAAUAUUUUGGAACACAUAAUAAUGUUUGUAACGUCAGAUGAUAUCAUUUGGAAUAUAGAAAAAUUUUGAUUGAUUUUUCUAAAAAUAUGUUCCUUUCCUAAAAAUCAUGAAAUAUUUUAAAACAUCACAUAAUAACAUCAGAGGACAUCAUUUGGAACAUAGAAAAAAUUUGAUUGAUUUUUUCUAAAAAUAUGUUAACAGAUAGAUGGUAUUUCUCAACAAACAUAUAUAGUUUUCUGGGUAGGAAACUAUAACAACCUUUGCAAAACAGAAUGGUAUAUGGAUGCAUAUGUACAGUUUUCUACCUAUGCGUUUUGGAACUAAGCUGGAGUUCAAUGAGCAGGUCAGCUCAUAAUGGGCUAAUGGGUUUUGGUUCCGGCUAAUGGGCUUCAACGUGUUGAGUCAUAAUUGUAAGCAGGCUUUGUACAGUUGGUGAGCCCGCUACUCUUUCCAGCCAAGCUGGUCCAACAUGCGAAGAUAAGAUCGUCUUCUACCUUGAGAUCCAUUCUUCAUUUAUACUGUCCAAAACUAGUGGGGCGAGGGGAGAGGUGGUUCGCAGGCAAGCCCCCUAAUCCAACAUUGCCCGCGUGGCUUGGUGACUACAGUUAGCGCGUCCGUUUGUGAACCGUAAGUGUACGGAUCAUCGUACCUUUUCUAUUAGCAUGUUCCAUCUAAGAUUUAUCAAUUCAUGGAUCGGCAACAAACUAGCUAAGGUUUCUAUCUAGUCUAACGGAUCAAUCCUUACAUGAAACGUUGAUUGCAUAUGAGGGAUAAACCUGAUGUAAAGAUGAAUGAUAAGAACACAGGUUGAUCAUAUCCACAAAUACAUAUAAGAUAACACCACCAAGGGUAACAAGAGCCUAUCGCCUUCUAGUUACAAAUCUAGCCAAUAAGCAAGCAUAUCAUGCAUCUUAUCCAAAAUAAUCUCUAAACUACUACCUCCGGUUAACCUCUCGAAAACUCCCAUCUUACACGAAAGCAGACACUGUCACGAUCCCUCUAUCAGCACAUGCAGUUUAAGGGCACAACCACAAGUGAACGUGUCUAAGCAUCAUGAAAAUGUCAACAUAUCAGAUCUAAUCUCCAUGAUUACAUAAGGCAUGCUAUGUAGUUUAAUUUAGAAUUAGACUAAGGAACAAGCAUAUUCACGAUAGAUGAAAAGUAUAAAAGGAGGCAUUGAGUCGCUAACAGAUCAGAUGACAUAAAUAGCAUUGCUCACAUAAUAGAUGUAUUAGAUCAUAACCUCCGAGUACAUACCAGCUCCUGAACUCCACCAUAGUACAACUGCCUGCGUAGGGAGGUCAUGGCGGCUAGGGUUUGGCCUAAGUCAUUUCCUAGAUAACUUUGAAGACUUGCAGCGGCCAUAAGCUCCCUUUGGUGAAUGCCCUAGGUUUCACCAACUUCUGGUGGAUGGAUGCGCAUGUCGAUGGAGAAUGGGCAUAUUUGGGGGCGAAGGGCACGUCGAUCGGAGUCAAAAAUGGGCCAGGCUCAUCGGCCCAGGACCUAGGAGAUUUCACCACCUUGCUGACCUCAAAUGCCAAAACUUUAUAUGCGAAAGUUGUAGAUCAUUUUGAGCUAUGCAGUUUAGAUACCAAAUUUGCUCCAAUCGGAGUUCGGAUGAGGGAGAUAUGCCUUGUGUAAGAUCUGCUGCUUCCGCGACCCUUCUGACUUUCCAAUCUUGAGGAUCUUUCAGCUUGACCACGAGAUUGACAUGUCAAAUCACCACAUACUUCACCUCUAAGUCAUCCGGAAUGAUGGUUCGUCGAAUGUGGAUGCAUUAGGAGGAUGAAUUGGGCCAGCCCGAUAGGCCUAUGGGUCCUAGACCGAUUGGCCUACCCUCUUUUAGGCUCCUCCGGUCCUCAUCUUUCUCGUGUAGACUCCUUGUGUUGUCCAAAGUCCAGGUCCAAAUCAAACCCGUACAAAAGCGCCACUUUAUGUCGUAUUUCUUGCCAUUUUGCAAUGUAGUGCAAAAUAUAACAUAUAUACGAAUAUGGAGUUAUUUCAGGUGCCAAGUGGCGGGUUAGUAUAAGAUUUAGUCCAAAAACACUAGUUAAAUAGCACUAAAAACGUGGCAAUAAUGAGCGCCAACGGACCCUAUUAUUGUUAAUUAAAGAGCAUGAACCAUGAGGAAACUUGUGUCUCUCCAUUAAAUAGUGGAUGAACAAAUUUAUACAGCAGCCAAGUAGGUGAUCAUGGGAAAAAACAUUAGUCCCUACAAGUUUUGGAAAAACAAAUGAGAAUCUCUUUUAUCAUAACUUGUGUACGUAGCAAGCCUAUUUAGCAUGAAUUAGCCGUUGUCAUGAGUUCAAUGAACCAGUUUACUGAUAUUAAUGCCAUGAAAAGUAUAUAUAUUUGAUAACAAAAGGGCCUCAAGUUCUUCAUUAAUCUCUAUCUCUACCUAAUAUUAAAGUUUGGAACAAAUCCUUCAUGAGUUCUGCCACCUUAGUUUUGAAACCGUACAGAACCAGCACUUGCCGUGCAAAACCGAAACCAACCUGAACACUUCUGCCUCCGAGGAACUCUUGACGCGCAAAAAGACCAGCUGCGGCGGCUUCCUGUGCGCGAGGCAAGCGCUCCCAGCUCGUGGGCCUGCUGGGCCGCCUGGCUGCUGCUCGAGGCUUGUGCCGCGAGCUGAUUUUCUCAUCUAGUCUCCAAAAAUAUACGACAUAUCGAAAAAAUAAUCUCCAAUAUUAUCUACUUGGGUCCUACUUUAUAUAAUUUCAACAUAAUCACAUAUGCACCAUUUAUAUGAUUUCCCCUAUAUUUAUUUUCAGCAUACUUCAAAACAAACAAGCUCCUUUAGGGAUCGAGGAAGAAGAACGAGAAGAAAAUCAACAAGUUCUGCAGGAUCAAAGAAAUAUAAAAAAAAUCCAAUGCAUGAUGCACAUAAAGAGCUCGAUGAAAGUCCAGCCUUUAGCACGAAGAAGACGACAUCUCCGCCUAUACACUGUCUCACCUCAAGGCCACCACGACGCUUGCUGUUUCCCACUCAUAUCCAUUGCCAUUUAAGGACAUGCAUGGGCUCGUCCACGUUGGAGGCCCCAAACAACCGAACACAACCCAUGCGUAGUUCAGAGGACAUGCACGAGGCUUGUGCCGCGAGCUGCCCUGUGUCCAACACAUGCCACGCUCUAGCCUGCUAGUAACUAUCAUAAGCCAAGUCGAUCCAAAAGGUUAGUACUUCACGUUCUCCUUGAUUUCUUAGUUUUCCACAUAGGAUUUUAUAAUUAUUUAUAUUUCGUACAUAUAUUAGCCAAGGAAGUCACCCGUUAAUAAGUACCAUGUCAAUGUCCAAUAUAUGUUUCAGCCUUGGAGGAAUUUCUGCUCAGUGGUAGCUGCGUGACAUAAUAUUUUGUUUUGUAAUCUAUGACUCAGCAUGUAUAGUUUCAAUUUGCAAGUUUCUAUUGUGCAAUAGCAGAACUUAAUUAGUUGCAUGAGUGCUUAUGAGUUUCACGUAAUUUGUGCUAAUUUGGGCACGUACAUUGCUCCAUGUUGACCACCUCUAUGUCACCUCAUGAUGCAUUGCACGUAGAAUUUUAGAUGAUGUAGCGAGGGAGAAGGAGGUGAGAGCAAUAUAUAGAUCAUCUACAUUAAUUAAAAUUUAGCACUAUUAGAUGGUGGAUGUGCUAUUGUACCUUAUUAAAUUUUUAUGAGGGAUGAUGCAGGAGUAUCUUCUUUCCUUCCAUGGACUCACCAUUUAAGGGAUGUGGAACUAUAAAGAGACAGCUAAAAGAUAAAACAUCGUAGCAUUUGUCUGUUUAAGUCAUCCAUACAUUGUGUGGAGGCUAUAGGACAGCACCGUUAGAAUUGCUCUUAGUCGUCAGAUCCAUUGGUAAUUAUAACAAGGAACGUGUCUGGGGCAAACCAUCUAUCCUAUGCAACUUUGGAAACUAUGAAUUAAGGCAAUAAUCCAAUGGAUAGGGUUAGUGAGGGGAUUUGUGGCCGGCGGGUGGGGGGACUUAAGUGCAAAAUAAUCAUAUCCAUUGGAUUAGCAUCCAAGGUUGCACGGGGUAGAUGGUUUGUACCAGAUACGUUUCCUUAUAACAAAAUAUUAAAGACAGCACAUAUUUAUCAACCUAUAUAUAUAAACAAGCCCAUGUGAAUACACGGGUUGUCGGUUAGUACUAAUAAAUUAAAACUUGAAAACGGGACUAACAGUAAUUUGGAACUUGAAAAUGGGAAUUACCAAUGGAAGAACAAUAUGGCCAGUUUUCAGAACGGUGAAGAUGCUUCCACUUUGCCAAAACCAAAAGAAUCUGGUCCCAGGGCCGUUGUCCACGGCCAGUGGGCAUCGGCCGUGUGCUGCACUGCACUCUCUGGCUCGUCAGGAAGUGAUCUGGCAUUAAGGGAUCAAGCUGCUGGGGCUUUACAGGAUGAUGGCGUUUGUGAAUCGACGAAAUCACUGGGCAGAGCUAGCUGAACUGCUGAAGACUGGGCGAAGGUGGAGACGAAGACAGUGGAGCUUUCAAGCAUCGUUUUACUUGACAAUUCGCCGCUGCUUUACCUGCUGCUCUGCUAUCAUGGGAUGCAUCUUGCAGAAAAAAAAGAUCAAGGAUCAAUGAAUCUAGCAGGAUAGGUUAUCUUCUGGUAUUACUGAUCGUCUUUCCUCAUUUGUAGUUUUCUGCCAAGAGGUAGUAGUGCUAAGUGUUCUGUGACCACAGGACACUCAGUGCAGACCCCUCUUGAUCAUGUACAGGACACUCUGCAUGACGACUUCUCUAUUUGCAGUCAUCUUAUCCUUCUUGUGCAUAGCAGAGUUUCCCCUGUCAUCAUCGUCUCUCAGAUCAACCGGGGAGACGGGAGACUUGGAUCAAAUGGCAUCGUUUUGAGGGGACAGCUAGCUCCUUUGUCUAGAGGAGUUUACACGGUAAAACCAGCCACCUAGAGGAUUUUCAUGGUUGAAAACAACAUGAAAAAUCAGGGAACUUAUCCUUACCUCCUCUCCUCACCAAAACAAAAGUUUUAUACCUCUUACUACAUUAUUAUUUAUCUUGCAGUAACUCUAUCAAAACUGUUAAAAAACUUAUUGUAGAAAUAUCAAACACAAUUACAUAGGCCAUACAACCUUUUCUUUUAAUGUAGACUCUGGAACAUAGAGACAAAACCAGUUACCCUCUUAAAACUAGCACAGCCUUUAGACUCUAGACGUCGGAAAAGUGCAAAGUUAUCCUCGGUGAGUUGAGAAGGUCAGAAGGAAUGCGGGGCCGGAGAAUGGGGCAGGGAAAGUGAGGCUGGCACCAAGAAGUUGAGUAACAAAGGUGAGUUGGCAACGGUUCAUUUCGAUCAAUCCUAGGCUUUUUGAAUUUCUGGCAGUUGAUAUUUAGCAUCCAGCAAGAACAAUAAUGCGAGGGCGAGUAUCCUUAGUUAUUUCGUAGAAAUUUGUUCUUGAUGUAACAUGUAGAUUCUCCUUCGCUUGUCCUUGUCAACUACUUAACUACAGAAAAAAUGCACAGUAAAAUUCUUGACCAAUGACCCGUUUGAAAGGGUUGCCUCAUUUGUCCAGCCGGAGCUAACACGGUAAGACAAGAUAACAGCUACCACCCAGGUCCAUGGUGUACUGCUCGUCACUACAUUCGUCUAUGAGCAUCUAAGUCUUAAGUCCAAAUGAAACACUGCUACAAGCUUCUCCAGUUCACAAUGGCCAAGCUCAACCUUCUGCUUCUCACGCUACUCCUCACUCCCCUCUUCCUCACUUCCAGUUCUGAUUCGGUGCGGCCCACCGACGCCGAGCUCCGACCUCUCUUGAUCAUCAAGAGGGAUUGGGGCAACCCUACUGCACUCAGCUCAUGGAAGAACACCAGUAGCAACACCACUGCCUCUAGUCCUUUCACUCACUGCGAAUGGGCUGGGGUUACUUGCAACGACAACGGCCAAGUGACCGCCCUCUCCUUCCAAAAUUUCAACAUAUCCAAUCCAAUCCCUGCCUCCAUUUGCAGCCUCAAAAAACUAGCGUAUCUAGACCUCUCCUACAACAACCUUGCCGGCGAGUUCCCGGCGGCAGCGCUCUACGGUUGCUCGGCACUUCACUACCUCGACCUGUCCAACAAUCUCUUCUCCGGCGUCCUCCCAACUGACAUCAACGGCAAACUGUCGAUGCAGAUGGAGCACCUCAACCUGUCAACCAAUGGUUUCAGCGGUAGUGUGCCGUCGGCAAUUGCCGGGUUCCCAAAGCUCAAGUCGUUGAUUCUCGACACUAAUAGCUUCAACGGGACCUAUCCGGGCUCGGCCAUCGGCAGCCUCACCGAGCUCGAGACGCUGACGCUAGCAAGCAACCCAUUUUCACCAGGGCGUAUCCCUCAUGAUUUCAGCAAGCUGAAGAAUCUAAAGAUGCUGUGGAUGUCAGGGAUGAACCUGACUGGUGUUAUACCCUACGCUCUCUCAGCGCUCACUGAGCUUACUGUGUUGGCUUUGUAUGAGAAUAAUCUUGAGGGCGCAAUUCCGGCGUUUGUUUGGAAGCUUCAGAAGCUGGAGUUCGUGUACCUUUACGCCAACAGCUUCAUGGGUGCAAUUGGGCCAGAGUUCACUGCUGUCAACAUGCAACAGCUUGACCUAUCGGGGAACAGCCUCUCCGGAGUGAUACCGGAGACCAUCGGUAACAUGAAGAACUUGACACUGCUCUGCUUAUACAACAACUACUUCACCGGGUGGAUUCCGUCGAACAUCGGGCUGCUCCCCAACCUCGUAGACAUCCGGCUAUUCAACAACAUGCUCUUGGGCACCCUCCCGCCAGAGCUCGGAAAGCACUCGCCACUCGGCAACCUUGAAGUGAGCAACAACUACCUCACCGGCGUGCUCGGGGAAACCCUGUGCUUCAACAAGAAGCUCUACAACAUCGUGGCGUUCAACAACAACUUCUCCGGCGUGUUCCCGGCGAUCCUGGGGGCGUGCGACACACUGGACAAUAUCAUGCUGCAGAACAACAACUUCGUCGGUGAGUUCCCGGAGAAGAUAUGGUCGGCGUUGCCCAAGCUGACCAGCGUUAUGAUACAGAACAAUAACUUGACGGGCUUUCUACCUAGUGCCCUGUCCCCUAAAAUCACACGGAUUGAAAUGGGGAACAACAGAUUCUUUGGCAACAUACCAGAAUCUGCAACCGGCCUGCGUUCGUUCGAAGCAGAGAAGAAUUUGUUCUCCGGUGGGCUACCUGCGGACAUGACAAUGCUUGCCAACCUUACUGUUUUGAACCUUGCCGGGAACCAGAUUAGUGGAUCCAUACCAACAUCCAUCGGAGCCCUUGAGAGGCUUAAUUCCCUCAACCUCAGCAGCAACCAGAUAACUGGAGAGAUCCCGGCAGGAAUCGGAUUGCUCCCGGUGCUCAUCGUCCUCGAUCUCUACAACAACAAACUCAGUGGUAGCAUCCCGGAGGACUUCAACAACAACCAUUUCUCCUUCCUGAAUCUCUCGUCUAAUCAGCUCACCGGAGAGGUGCCAACCGCACUACAGAGCCCAAAGUACAACAACGUCUUCCUGGACAACCCUAGCUUGUGUGCGGAAUCAAACUCUGGCCUACCCCUGCCCCCGUGCUCCCGUAAUUCUUGGAGAAAGAUCAUCUUGUCAGUUGCAGCUCUCUUCAGCUUCAUUGCAGUUUGUGUUGGGUGGAGCAUCUACAGGCGCAAGAAAGACCGUAAGGAUGUUACAUCGUGGAAGAUGACACCAUUUCAUGCUCUGGAUUUCACCGACCACGACAUACUCAGCAACAUCAGGGAAGAGAACUUGAUCGGCAGAGGUGGGUCAGGAAAAGUCUACCGCAUCCAUCUCGGCAGCCAGAAGGCAGCAGGGAAAAGCGCUGAUGCGGCCGGUGGCCACUCAACAGUGGCCGUGAAGAAGAUUGGGAACGCUGGCAAGCCGGACGGUGAUAUCGACAAGGAGUUCGAAGCGGAGGUGGCAUCACUAGGUGGUCUCCGUCAUGGCAACAUCAUCAACCUCCUCUGCUGCAUCUCCGGCGACGACACGAAGCUGCUCAUUUACGAGUACAUGGAGAACGGGAGCCUGGACAGGUGGCUGCACCGGCGCCGCCGCAAGAUUGGGCCGCCGCUGGGCUGGCCCACCAGGCUGAGCAUCGCCAUGGACGUCGCCAGGGGCCUCAGCUACCAUGGCUUCACGAGGCCGGUCAUCCACCGUGACGUCAAGUGCAGCAACAUCUUGCUGGAUCGCGAGUUUAGAGCCAAGAUCGCCGAUUUCGGGCUCGCCAGGAUCCUUGCCAGGGCCGGCGAGUCGGAGCCGACGUCGAGCGUCUGCGGGACAUUCGGUUACAUUGCUCCAGGUCGUAGCAUCUUUAGUUCCACACGACCAGAACGUUGAUGAGAAGUUUUCCAUGUUGUGAACACACAACCAUGAGCUUAUAACACGCCUGGACUUUGUGUUUGGGUGCAGAGUACGUGAGCAGGGCGAAGGUAAGCGAGAAGGUGGACGUGUACAGCUUCGGCGUGGUGCUGCUGGAGCUCGCCACCGGGCGGGGGCCACAGGACGGCGGCACGGAGUCCGGCAGCUGCCUGGCAAAAUGGGCGUCGAAGAGGUGCGGGAACAGCAACCCAUGCGUGGACCUGAUCGACGGCGAGAUCCGGGACCCGGCCUACCUGGACGACAUGGUGGCCGUGUUCGAGCUCGGGGUCGUCUGCACCGGCGAGGACCCGUCGUCGAGGCCGCCGAUGAACGAGGUCCUCAACCGGCUCAUCCAGUGUGGCCGGAGUCAGAUGACCCUUGACGAUGACGACCACUAUGCCAAAGACUUGUGUGGCGACGAUUCUUUUGAGUUUAUGGUAUGACGUGGCCUUGUGAUCUGGUACAGUAGCAAUCAGAGGCACCUCAGGCCUUGCAAAUUGCAAUCGCUAUCCAGCUUAUUCGUUACGUACCAUGAAUUCUCAGGUCAUCAGUCUAAGACGUCAAACCUUUGUUCCGGACCUCUCGGGUCCAGUGAGUGGAAGCACUAGGGGAAAGCUAAGAAUUGCCGAGCGUUUUUUCUUUGCCGAGUAUUUUUUUCGAACACUCGGCAAACAAUCUCUUUGUCAAGUGCCAAGUUAAAAACACUCGACAAAUAGGGGCUUUGCCGAGUGUUCGAAAAAAACACUCGGCAAACCCGGGGCUGCGGAGUGUCUAAGCUUACAUUCGGUGAAGAGGGGGGUUGGCCGAGUGUCAAAAAAAACACUCGGCAAAAAUAUUUUUUUCCUCUUUUCACCUUAAAAUUUUUUCUACUCCCCACAUAUAACAUGUGGUACUCCAUGUUAAAAUUUGGUAUAUUUUUAGAUUUAUUUGCUAUAUUUAUUUAAUUAAUUGCAUUUCAAGAAAAUUUUUGGUAUAAGUCAAAUUUGAACUGCAAGUGAUUCAAAUUAUGGAACAAAAUGAGUAUAAAAAUGAUAUUCAUGUUAUUUGGCCCAAUUUGAGACCUGAUCCAUGAAAUGAAAAGAAAUUUCGAACAUCUUGUUCAGGAAACACGACCAUGAACGUGUGGCAGUAGUAUUUUUAAAUUGUAAAAAAAACAAGCAAAGUCUGAAAAUCAUGAGAUUUGUCAUGAUGUGAUGAUAUAAUACGUGGAGGCUGUGGAAAAAAAUUGAGAAGGUUUUGCACAUUUCAUCAUGUACGAUGAUUACAAACCGAAGCAUCUUAGAAGAAGAAUAGUAACUUUGAGAAAGAUUCGAUAAGAUUUAGAGUUGAAGUGAUGUCGAGUUUGGUUUAACUACAAAACUUUUUGUAUAGUCAAUAGAGAACAUAUAUAUUUCACGUGAAAAUUUGGUAUUUUUUUGAAACUAUUGGAUAUUUUUUAAUUUUUUUAAAAAAAACUUUGCCGAGUGUCCUAGGUAAUCCUUUACCGAGUGUCCACAUAGGACACUCGGCGACUUUUUUUUUCCACGUACCGGGCCCGCCUCCCCUCACGCCGCCCCCCUCAAGGCACCCCCGCCCCCCCUGUGGCGGAACCACCUCGGAUUACCUUGAUUAAAGCACGGUUAAGUCGCCUGACACACGACACUCAUGCCUUAGUCAAGUUAACUCGAAGUGCCGUCGGAUUUCAUCCGAUUUAACCACUUAACAGGACCGAGUUUAGCAAAACUCACACGAAGGUGAGUGGUUCCAGAGAAUACAACAGAUCCACUGAGUUAAACAAGUUUGACAAUUUAGUUCAACAUCAAAACGAAAGUCAGAGUUUUACAGGAUUCAAGAGCAGCGGAAAGGUAAAAUAGCGGAAGCUAGCGCCGGGGUCGGAUGUCCCUGAUGAGGCCGAUCAGGACAUCAGUGAUCCCUUUCCUCGACCGUCCAACCCAGAGGGAGCUAGGGCGGCCAAGUGCCAACAGGAGCAAACUCAGGAGCUGCGACUUCACCUGAAAAGAGAGCCACAAACAAGGCUGAGCUGCUAAGCUCAACAAGACUUAACCAACCGGUGGUAAAACUACUCCACCACGUCUAGACAUGCAAGGCUCUUUGGCUGAGGGGUUUGUUUGCCAAAAGCGACUAUGUUAGGUCCUUGCUUUCAAGUUUUAGCUCAAAUUCUAAGUUCAUUAACCAGUCUAUGUUGGCAUCUUACUCUAAGCAAACAUAGAUCCAACUUUAUGUAUAUAAGCUCAUCAACAAGACCAUGUCAUCAUCAGACUCUUUCAUUACUCAGUGUAGCAUAGCGAUCAAGCAGUCUCAAACUGUGAGAGGCAGACGAAUCGAUUCGAGUUUCUUAACAAUGCAUGGCGAACCUAAUCUCACGACAUCCGCGCACCACAAGGAUCGCUUCCUGUGUCGGCCAUCCCCAUCAAUUCCCAAGCACGUGUCAGGUCCAAACUUCCCUUGGCAUGCAAUGCUCCACAGUCCCAGCCUCUACCGUACUGUGACCGCACUUGCACCCACAUGAUGCACCAUGGGAACCUCGUUCCAGGGACAGCAGGGGUAUAAGCCACGCCCUAGUUCAAUCAGGUACUAGGCUUCCCCAUCCCAUACUAGGUAUGAGAUUAGUACUUUCAAACACUUGAUCACGAACACCACCACUGUCAGGCCUUAACAGAUUCCAUAGACAGACGGGGCGAUCAACCGACCACCAAAAGAGUUAACCCAAACCCUGCCCCGUCCAUCGUCCUUAUAGUUGUAACAGAAGGAGAAACAACCAACUCCUAUAACUCGCGAGUGACAGGGAAUCACUCGACUUUUACCGAUACCUAUUUAAGCAGUGCAACUACUCGACCCAACAACUAGUGUUCAGAUCAAAAGAACUAUGUCAUGCAUCUAAGGUUGCAAACAACUCCUAUACGUAAAUGCACAAACAUGAGAAAGAAGGCAUGCGCAAGUUUGGGAAACUUUGGGGUUCAUGCUCCGGGGCUUGCCUUCAAGCGGAGGGGAGGGGAACUGGUCUUCAGCUGGGGCGACUUCGGCUUCUGGAACUGGUAGCUCGGCUACAGCUCCGUCUUCUGGAACUGGGUGUAGCUCGUAGACACCAUCAGCGAGGUGCAACUCUACACGAAUGCAAUGCAGGAGUUAGUGUUUAGACGGUUAUUUCAACAACACUUGCAGCGAGGCUACAGAAAAGGUGGGGAAGUUUACUUUAGUUGGUGGAGAGCAAGAUAAAAGGGUCGGAUUGGAAGAAACUUAUGAUCGGACCCUUACUAGAGGAAUAGCUGUGCUGGGGGUCCUCAGACUUAAUGUAGAGAAGUCCCCGAAAUCUUACACAGAUACCUUCGGGUCAAGGAAAAAGAUACAGCCGAGUCCUCGGGCGAGGCAGAUAAGGGUCGGCUAACAGACAGGGUCGGGCGAGACGGAAAAGGGGUCGGGCGAACAGAUAGGGUCGGGCGAACCGGUGAGGGGUCGGCAGCUUACCUUCGGUUUAUAGGUGGAGCUUUGGGGUCGGGAAGGAGUAGACUUGGGCGGAAGAUCUUAAGCACUAAGGCUUGGGUGGCGGCGAUGUCCGGCGGUGCUCCGGCGGCGGCGGAGCUCCUUGCGAGCAACAAGGAAGCUCUAGCACAGCGCGGAGGAGCAGGUGGCUGGGUGGAUUGCGAGGGGCGGGUGUUGAGCGGAGAUGAGAGUUCCUCAAGAACUUAGGUGGCGGCGCUCGAGCACGAAAUAGAGGAACAAGGCGGCGAGGCAACGAUGGCGAAGGGAACUCCAGUAGGACUCUGGCAUUCCCUUUUAUAGCUGCGCGGAAGAGAGAGAGUUGGAGUAGCACGAAGACCGGAAGAAAAGGAUGGAGUGCGCUGCCAUGGUGGCGAUUGAGCGGCGAUGGACGGUGGAACAGGACUUCGGAGAUAGCGUCCUCGGCUAUUGGGCACGGGAGACAAGGCGGCGCAGGCGCGGUUUUGCCGGGGCUGAGAUUUUGGCGGAGGCGGGCGUCUUCGAGCGGCGAAUUUGAUUGGUGUGACCGGGAGAACGGCACUACAAGCGAGGUUGCAAUAGGUGAAAAGACAGGCGGGCUGCGGCUGCGCGGGCGAGCGCGAAACAGCGGUUUGCCGAGCACAGUUCUGGCAAGGCGGACAAGGAACUGUCGCGGCCGGAGUCGGGGUUGGCGAUGGAGGAAUCGUCGCGUAGCGCGUGGGCGGCGCGAUUGUGGAGAGGCGGCGGAAAGGCCGGAAGGCAUCGGGCCUUGCAGCCGGGGAUCCGGUGAGAUGAUGAUGGGCGCGAGCCGCGAGGCGGUUUGACGCAGCAGGCGGUAAAGCUCUGCCACAGCGGCGACGGAGCACCAAGGCGCGGCCGGCGAGGGCGCGAGCGAGAUGAGGCGCUGCAGAAAGGGUUGCAGAGGGGCUUCCGCUGCGAUUGGGGAGGAGGGCGCGGGAAUCCAUCCUGUCGCGGCCGGCGACUGGGCGAAGCGGCGGGCGGCGGAGAAGUUGAGCCACGCGGCGGGGGAGCUCUGAAGCGGUGCAGGCCGCUCGAGUGCGUCUGCCUCGGGAGAUCCGGGGAAAAGAUUGCGGGUCCACCCGUCAGUCUCGGUUUCUCCUCUUCUUAAGAUUGAAAGGGACACUGUUGUUGAGACUUCAAAGGAACCGACGGGGUGGGUUGGGGUCUUCAGGGGUCGGGACCGGGAACUGGAGUGGAGCACUCCUGCUCGGGAAAAGCUGAGACAGAGGAAUUUUGGACUCGGAUUAAGAUUAACUCGAAUGAUUUGACCAGGGUCGUUACACCCCCCCCUCCUCCUCCCCUCACGCCGCCCCUUCCCCCUCCCCCCGUCGGAUGCCGCCUCCCUCCCGCCGGAUGCCGCCUCCCUUCUCCCCUUCUCCCCCGGCGGAGGCCAGAUCCGGGCGAGGAUGGGAGGGCGGCCCUCCCUCCCCCGCCGGACGGGCCAGAUCCGGGUGAGGAUGGGAGGCGGCCCUCCCUCCCCCGGCAGCCGCCCCCUCCCCUUCUCUCCGGCGCCUCUCCCCUCCAGGUCGGAUGCGGUGGCGGCUCCUCCCCUCAGCCGGAUCCGGCGGCGGCUCCUUCCCUCCCGGCCGGAUCCCCUCCCCUCGCGGCCGGAUCCGGCGGCGACCGGUCGCCCCCUCCCCUUCAACUUGGCGACAGGUGGCGUGGUAGCAGGUGGCGGCGGGUGACCCCCUCCCCUUCUCCUCGGUGGGUGGCGGUGGGUGGCCGGGCGCCCCCUCCCCUUCUCCCCGGCGACGCGCGGCCCGCCCCUCCCCUUCUACCCGGCGGAUGUGGCGGCGUGGUGGGCGGCGGCCGUGGCGAGGCGGUGUGGUGGGCGGCGGCCGUGGCGGCGGUGGUGGAGGCCGAUGGGCGGUGGCCGUGGCGAGGUGGCGUGGUGGGCGGCGGCUGUGGCGAGGCGGCGGCGGUGGAGGCCGGUGGUGGUGGCCGGCAGUGGUGGCGGCCGGCGUUUUUGGUUUUUUUUAUUUGUUUUCAAAAAAUAUGUUUGCCGAGUGUUUUUUGGGCACUCGGCGAAAACUUCACCGAGUGCCCGACAUAAAACACUCGGCAAAGUUAACUUUGCCGACUUAAAAUUUGCCGUGUGCCGUUUGCCGAGUGUUACACUCGGCAAAUGUUUCGCCAAGUGCCCCCGGCACUCGGCAAUUUUCCUGUGCCCCGUAAUGAAGCCUGAAAAGCGAUGAUGUUGCCUCCAAAUCUCCAAUCAAACUACAAAUGCGAUCUCCCUCAGUCUACCCAUGUAAUAAGUAUGUUUUGAGGGUAAAUAUUCACAAAUCCACCCUUUAGUGCAAUCGAAAGCUGAAUUUCAUCCAUUAGAUGCGAAACAUGCAAUCCAGAUAAGAUCCUAAAAACACAAUAUACUUUUACAAUCAACCCCCCGCGAUCCAUAUGUGACAUUUAGUAGUGACACCCUGUUUGAUAUUACAUUUGCACAAAAAUCCCUCCUUUGUCUUCUCCUCCACACCUCCUUUGCCUUCUGCUCCACUCCUCCCAGUUCGUAGUAGGUGGCAUACAAUAUUUGCAACUUGAAGUGUAGACGGAUUGCAACUCAAACGAUUGGUUGGAUGCAACUCCAGUUACAAACUGUGGGGGUGGUAUUUAUUGAACUGAGCUAGGAAUGUCCCAAUUUAAUGCGAGGCGGGUAAUAUAUGUCCUACAGUAUUUGCAACUUGGAGUGUAGACCGAUUGCAACUUGAACCAUUGGCUGGAUACGACUCUAGUUACAACUACGAGUGUGGAAUUUAUUGCACUGAGUUAGGAAUGUCCCAAUUUAACGCGAUGAGGAGUAGUAGGUGGCAUGCAGUAUUUGCAACUCGGUGUAUAGACCGGUUGCAACUUGAACAAUUAUUUGGAUACAACUUCAGUUGCAACUGCGGGUGGUAUUUAUUGCAUCGAGUUAGAAAUGUCCCUUUUCACACUAGAACGGCUUGGGUGUUAAAUGCGAAAUGUUCCAUGUGGUGGCGGGGGGGUUAGAUGCAAAUUUUGCUGCAGGUCUCGGGAGGCUCAUCCGGAUCGCACAUUUUAGAACUGACGGUCUGCAACUGGGUUUCCAUGGAGGGUAGGUUUGCAUUGAAUAUUUACCCAUAUUUUGAUAGGAGAAGAAUUUUUCAAAUUAAGUUUUGACCAUUAAUUUCUUUUAUUGAAGUAUAUUAUCACUUACUAAAAAACACAAGUCUGUCUCAGAAUUACUAUGAGUAAAAACUUGUUGGUCCAAUUUUUAGAUAGACAUGCAUAUAAUCUGAUUAACUGUCGGUCCAAACUUAUGAUUUGAAUUUCAUUAUUUUUUUCAGAGUCAAGACACGUCUUGCAUUGACAAAAGGAACUCCUACAUGUGACGUUGAAUUGUCAAGAACUCGACGUAAUAAUAGUAUUAUCGUUGCAAGAAAUGAGUAUCUGUUACAAAUCUCACUCACUAGUCACUACUGCACAAAAUUCUAAUCCCGCCACUGCUUUGGUCUCUUCUUCGUUCUUCUCCCCGUCGUGGCCCGUGUUCUCACGAUCCACAACACAAACUGCCCGGCCCAGCCCGUUUACAGACCCGUGGUUGAACACUUGAACUUCACUGAACCCAAUGGAAGCCGGAAGUAAAAACUGAGCCAGGUAAGUUGAGCAACCUUAAAGAAAAAAGAUGCAUCGAUCCAAGCCAAAAAAAAAAAAGCACUGCUUCGGAGGUGUGCCUGCGCGCGCGCGCGUGCGCCGGCCCGAAGCAGGCGUUUUGAAUUUGACUGAAAGCGGCAGAGUACGUACGCAAGUUGCAGCCGGAAAAAAUUGCCAAGUGGUGUAGCGCUUUCUUCCCGUUUUGGAAGUUGUGGAGUGUUGUUGCCGGAAUGUGGGCUACUGCUCCAUCGUCUCUACUUGCUCGCGAUGUUUCUCGAUCGUGUAACAAGUUUUGUAAACUAUCCAUGUGUGCUCACCCUUAUAGCACGCAUUAUAUACGCACUACGUAAAACACAACAAGAGGCUGAGUUGUACUCCCUCCGUUUUAAAUUAUAAGUCAUUCCAACCUUCUUGGAGAGUCAAAGCAUCUCAAGUUUGACCAAAUUUAUAUAAUAAAGUGCUAAAAUUCAUGAUAUCAAAUAUGUACCAUUAGUUUCUUCAUUAAAUAUAAAAUGGUUUGACUCUCCAAGAAAGUUAGAAUGACUUAUAAUUUGGAAUGGAGGGAGUACUGUAUAUGAAAACGGCAAGCACAUAGCACAUGCUUGGUUGCUGGCCUUCAGUAGCCACGCGUCACAGAUGUGGCGUCAAAUACAACUGCGAAAUGCUGUGGCAGCAAAGGUAAGUAAACAACCAAGUAGGGGCUUCGAUUAGCGUGGCUGCCCAUCAAACACUCAAGCCCAUGACGCCAUGCUAACUCAGAGAUUUGACUUUGUUAGAUCAAUUGAACUCGGAUGGCACACAAGUUACAAUUUAUAAUGAAUCUUCCUUCAUUAUUACUUCCGAUUUUUCACUAUAUUAACUCAAUGUAAUCUUUGAGUUCGAGCCCUAUAAAGUAUUGAUGCUCCAAGUAUUACUGAUAUGUAGCUGUCCAUUAGUAAAGAAUAACAUCAGGCUCAAUUGAUUGAUAAACCAUCUGUUUCAAAUUGUAAAUCGUUUUGGUUUUUUAAAUACAUAUAUAGUUAUUGCUAUGCAUAUAGAUAUAGGUUAUGUCUAAAUACAUAGCAAAAUCUAUGUAUUUAAAAUAGCAAAAUAACCUACAUUUUAUAAUGAAGGGAGUACAUAUUAUAAGAUUGGCGAACCUAAGCAUUUAUACCACGGGACUAUAAAAAUGGAUGUUCGUUAGGAAAACGAAAAUGGUUUGUGUGGAGUAUAAUCUUAGUAUUGAUUUAUUCUUUUUAAACAAAGAUAUCGAGAGCUUUGUCACACAUAUAUUAAUAAAAAGAGGAGAAGAGACAUCGGCCUACUAGCUAGCCUCACCUGAAUUUUAUAUCCUUAAAUCUUUAUCAAUAUUUUAUUAAGAACUCUCAUUCCUCUUACCUCUAGUCGUUCAUCUGUCAUACUGCCCGAGUAGUAAUUAACGGAGUUGCAUGUAUCGACCAGUUCGACUUAAAAUUUUAAAUUAACAAGCACAUGCUUCCUCUUUUUAUCGGCCUCCGGAGACGGCUCUCAUGACCGCUCUAUGCCGUCAAGCUAGCCCAUGCAUUAGAGCGAGUUUCUUCGCUUCAACCCUCCUCACUGGCCACCCCGUGCCACCCAGCUGCUCAGCACCGUGACAGCUAUUCUUAUCCUGAUCUUGUUUUUUCUUUCUCAACACAAGAAAACUGAAGCUUGUAAGUUGACUCAUGACCUGUACGUACUGUACGUAGCACGCCGGUGCCUUGAUGGCUUGAUCCAAGUCAAAAUUUUACAUCUGGUUGCAGCAGAUUUUUUUUUUUAGGAUCAUCUGGUUGGAGCAACUUGCACACAGAUCUCUACAGUGCCAAUAUGGCAAUAUACUACACAUUGCCGGUCCAGGGUGCAGAGCCCAACCAUGUUGCUCCUGCAAGUUGCGGCUGGAUAAACAUUACACGUUUUGCUCUGUUGGACUGAUCGUUUGUAAACUGUUGAACAGAUUCACAGAGCCCAACCACGUUAAAAGAUGCUCUUUUUUUUAAAAAAAAAAUAGAAUUUGAAUCAAGGCAUGUUGAAUGUUGUGAAGCAUCAAGUUGUGCAGCAUCCCUUCUGGAAUCUGGGCUACUAGUUCCUUUGUCUCUUCUCUGUUGCAAUUUUUAUCACAGAUCUGGAAGGAUUAAUUUUGUUUUGUUUGAGCAAGUACAAAUGCAGGGAAACUGGCUCUACUUGCUUCCUCAUUGCCCUCUCAGUUUCACAGUAUUGUCCUAGUCCACAUAAAAGUCACACACUCACACUACAAUUUGAACGAUUUUUUGAACUAAAUUUGAACGAAUUUCGUUGAUUGAAAAGUACAAACGCACUGCAAAGUGGCCGCCAUGCUUGCUUCCUUAAUACCCAAGAGAGUUCUUUACAACUCGCACAUCAAAGCGAGUAGCUACGUAUAGGAUCACUUGAAAAAGCAAAAAUAGGGCUCGUGGUCUGCUAACCCACAUGCCAAUGGGAUAAACAACUCUUGCAACAGAUCAGCUCCAGUUCAUUGGUUUCAACUCUUAGGCCCCGUUUUCUUCCACUGACUUAUUUUUAGCACCCAUCACAUCGAAUGUUUAGAUACUAAUUAGGAGUAUUAAACGUAAACUAUUUAUAAAACCCAUUACAUAAGACGAAUCUAAACGGCGAGAUGAAUCUAUUAAAC
rnacentral:lncRNA from 1 species